rnacentral:sRNA from 1 species
GCGGAGGAAAAGAAACCAACAGGGAUUGCCCUAGUAACGGCGAGUGAAGCGGCAUCAGCUCAAAUUUGAAAUCUGGCUCUUUCAGAGUCCGAGUUGUAAUUUGCAGAGGGCGCUUUGGUGUCGGCAGCGGUCCAAGUUCCUUGGAACAGGACGUCACAGAGGGUGAGAAUCCCGUACGUGGUCGCUGACCUACACCGUGUAAAGCCCCUUCGACGAGUCGAGUUGUUUGGGAAUGCAGCUCUAAAUGGGAGGUAAAUUUCUUCUAAAGCUAAAUACUGGCCAGAGACCGAUAGCGCACAAGUAGAGUGAUCGAAAGAUGAAAAGCACUUUGGAAAGAGAGUUAAACAGCACGUGAAAUUGUUGAAAGGGAAGCGCUUGCAGCCAGACUUGCUUGCAGUUGCUCAUCCGGGCUUUUGCCCGGUGCACUCUUCUGCGAGCAGGCCAGCAUCAGUUUGGACGGUUGGAUAAAGGCCUCUGUCACGUACCUUCUCUCGGGAAGGCCUUAUAGGGGAGGCGUCAUGCAACCAGUCUGGACUGAGGUCCGCGCAUCUGCUAGGAUGCUGGCGUAAUGGCUGUAAGCGGCCCGUCUUGAAACACGGACCAAGGAGUCUAACAUCUAUGCGAGUGUUUGGGUGUCAAGCCCGAGCGCGUAAUGAAAGUGAACGGAGGUGGGAUCCCGUAAGGGUGCACCAUCGACCGAUCCUGAUGUCUUCGGAUGGAUUUGAGUAAGAGCAUGGCUGUUGGGACCCGAAAGAUGGUGAACUAUGCUUGAAUAGGGUGAAGCCAGAGGAAACUCUGGUGGAGGCUCGCAGCGGUUCUGACGUGCAAAUCGAUCGUCAAAUUUGGGCAUAGGGGCGAAAGACUAAUCGAACUAUCUAGUAGCUGGUUCCUGC